UGAACAGACAUAAAAGAACCUGAAGCAUUAUUUCCUUAUAGUCAUUCUGUUUCUGGAGACAUGUCCAGUUGGAAAUUUUAAAUGUGCAAGCGGUACGGUAGAACAAUCCGCUGGGUCCGCUAAGGUGACUGUCACAACUAAAGAGUGCCUAGAUAAAUGUGAACCAGGAACUCUACAGCUACCAAUCGGAGGGACAGUGACUUAUAGCUGCUGUGACACUGAUCUUUGCAAUGCAGCAGACGGAGUGUAUAAGGGAAGCUUCCUCCUGCUCUUGUCUCCUCUGCUCUUCUACCUCCUGUUUCAGUGAAUCCAGAUGAACUUCAGAUUCUACAGCAAAGACCAGCAGAAACUCAAUAUGAUACACUAUCUGAUACUGAAUAAAGCUUGUUUGCUGCUCUGCUCUUCUUUGGUUUAAGGAACUGAGAAUAUGUACUUUUAACAUUAAACAAAUUACUGCAUCAAAACUAACACAUGUAUGAAUUUUCUUUGCAUAAAGGAAAAGUUAUUAUAGAAUGUAAUAAAUAAUUAAAGAAAAAUAUUGCCGUUUUAAAAAGUGUGAAAAACGUCUGUAAUAAAAUAUUUACAUAUGUGUAUUAAACAUCUCUCUCAGUGA